GCCUGGGUGGCUCGGUGGGUUGAGCAUCUGAUUUCAGUUCAGGUCAUGAUCCCACGGUGCGUGAGUUCGAGCCCCACAUCGGGCA
rnacentral:tRNA from 1 species